rnacentral:rRNA from 1 species
GAUGAACGCUGGCGGCGUGCCUAAUACAUGCAAGUCGAACGCUGGAGAUCUAGCUUGCUAGAUCGAAGGAGUGGCGAACGGGUGAGUAAUACAUAAGCAACCUACCCACGAAGACUGGGAUAAUCUCUGGAAACGGGGACUAAUACCGGAUAGGUAAUCGGAAGGCAUCUUCUGGUUAUUAAAGGUUAAAAACACUGGUGGAUGGGCUUAUGGCGCAUUAGUUAGUUGGUGAGGUAACGGCCCACCAAGACGAUGAUGCGUAGCCGGCCUGAGAGGGUGAACGGCCACAUUGGGACUGAGACACGGCCCAGACUCCUACGGGGGGCAGCAGUAGGGAAUUUUCGGCAAUGGGGGCAACCCUGACCGAGCAACGCCGCGUGAGUGAAGACGGCCUUCGGGUUGUAAAGCUCUGUUGUAAGGGAAGAACGGUAGAUAGAGAAUAUCUAAGUGACGGUACCUUACCAGAAAGCCACGGCUAACUACGUG